GCUUAUGGCCACACCGCCUGGUUCACGGCUGAUCUCGUUUGAUCUCGGAAGCUAUGAUAGGUUGGGCCUGGUUAGUACUUUGAUGGGAGACCGCCUGGAAAUACCAGGUGUUGUAAGAU
ensembl:rRNA 5S_rRNA 5S ribosomal RNA